UGAUAUUAACCCGACCGAACCGUGGCCAAAGACUAAAUUAAAUAGACUAUUAUCGUUACCUACCACCGAAGACGCAGCCGCAGUUUAUUUAGCAGUGAGUCAGUCUCCUCCAUUUUCUUCUUUCUCUCCAGUCUUUGAUUGCUCCACUCCACUCCCCUGAUUGUGCGACAUUGUUUGUUAACAUUGUAUUCAUAGGUUUCAAUUCACAAGCAAAUUGAAAAAGAACCCAGAUUCUGAAGUUUCUGAUUCAUCACUGAUUUCUUUCCUCCCCUGUUUUCAGCAACCCCCAGAAACAGAGUAACCCAUCCACCGGCGAUAUUCACAGAUGAUCGUUCGUAAAGCCUGAGACUUUGUUAGAGAACACGAGGGAAGAUGAUGGGUUACGAUUGGGCAUGCAAAAAUCCCAACGCUGGCGGUGGCGGCGUCGGCCAAUGGGUGAGAUUCGUUUUGCUGUCUCCGUGUCCACAGAGGUUGAUGCUCUCAUCGCUCGACCUCCUUUUCUUGCUCCUCCUUAUCAUCUUCGCAAUCUCCAAGCUUGUUCAACGGUGGUGGUCGUCGUCGUCGUCGGAACAAAACGACGUCGUUAAGCCUCUGUUGCAGACGGAGCCUUUUUCUUCCCCGACCACCACAACAGACGUCUGGUUCAAGCUAGCUCUAACAGCCACACUUCUAUCGGCAGCUUCCUCCACCGUCUCCCCCCUUCUCGCCCUCACCCGCC
rnacentral:lncRNA from 1 species